ACGCGUGAGCGUGCGCAUGCGCAUGCGCAACGGCCUCAGGCGUACACUGCGCACGCGCCGAGUUUCUGCCAUGCCUGUAGAGAGCUUUCAAAUCGGCCACAAAUCACCACGUACUUUCCAAAAGCCAUUACUAUGAAAGACAGGUCAAAGAAAACAUUUAGGAAGAAGAGCUCGGGAAAUCCAGUGAAAAACGACCUAUAAUGUGUAUCUCAUAGACAAAAGAAACUAUCACAUGCACGGAACAAACUUGAUGCUACAAUAUACUGCUAUAAUAAAUCAUUAGAUGGAAAAUAUAUUGUAAAAUAAAAAUGUGAUUGCAUUAACAACACAUUUACUAGGAGAGCUGAGAGAUAUUCUACAAGAAACUUCUCGGAUGAUUAUCUGUUGGGACAGUGGGGCAGAGAGUGUGGAGAGGCCACAGCAGAAGGUCUGCUAGAGUUCUGAGGAUGAGACUGGGGUAUUGGACUUCGUGGAGUGGAGUGGAGGUUAAGAUCUGCAGUUAGCCUACUUGCUUCCCUGGUCAGAGUGGCCUGUGGUUCCCAGGUUGUGCCUGCUGGAGUUGGGGCCUGGGAUAGGAGCAGAAAACCUGUGGGGUCUACCAGAGAUGAUGUUAAUCCCGCAUAUAGAAGAAGAAAGACCACCGACCCAAAUCAUGGCCAUAUUAAUAAAGCAAUUAGUUAAAGCAAGCCUUUGUAUUGCUGUACUCGGGCUGCCUUCCCCUAUGGCAGGGUUCUAGAGGUCAGCAUUGGACAUGAGGAAGACAAGGUUUUUAUAGCUCAGGGAUAGGGUUUUUCCCAAUUGGGAAUUUGGCAGCAAAGAGGUGGGGCUACAGGAGCAGAACAUAAGCUUAGCAAGUGAGUCACGUCAACCUUUUGUGAAACUGAAAGAUGUGAUUGCAAGGUAGUUGUAGCAAGGAAGUCAUAACAACAUGUAGUCAUAACCCUUUGAAACAGUGCCACAGUGUUUCUAUUGCUGUGAAGAGACACCAAGACCAAGGCAACUCUUAUAAAGGAAAACAUUAAACUGGCUUCAGUCCAUUAUCGUAACGGAGGGAAGCAUGGUGGCAUGCAGGCAGGCAUGGUGCUGGAGAAGGAGCUGAGAGUUCUACAUCUUGAUCUGGAGGCAGCGGAAGUGAAUGCCACACCAGGCCUACCUUGAGCAUAUGAGAAUUUGAAGCCAGCCCAACAGCAACACACUUACUCCCACACUACUUCAAGGCUACACCUGCUCCAACAAGCCCAUACCUCUUAAUAGUGCCACUCCCUAUUGUUGUGUGAUAUUUUGUUUGUGUUCUGUCAAAUAAAGCUUGCUUGGAGUCAGAGGGCAGAGCUAGCCAUUAGUCAACCAUAGAGGUCUGGAAGACUGUACGGAAAGACAGGAAGUGAUAUGUGUCUCUGCAUCUGUGAUUAUUAUAGAAGCUUCUUUUGAAUAUAUCCUUUUGACGUUGUGUAAGCCAUUUUAUUUCUUAUUUAUAAAGUUUCUGGGGGGUUGGGAUACACUGGAGUGUAGAGUGUUUUUUGAGCACAUGUACGUGCUUGGGUUUUUAGGAUUUCAGCAGUGAUUAAAAAGUAAAGAGCCCACUGAAGCAAGAGAGCUCACUGUAUGCUGUGGGACUGUCAACUACCUGAGGGAAGGUCCUCUUUGUUCUCACACUGGAAAUAGAAUGUGUUGGAACUGCCACCUAUGUCUACCAGUGGAAAUUCAUCUUAAGAAAAACAGGGGCCGGACAGAUGGCUCAUUAGCUAAGAGCACUGGAUGCUCUCCCAAAGGACUUGAUUCCAGCACCUAUGUGGCAGCUCUCAACUGUCUGUAACUCCAGUUACUGGAGAUGGAAGUCCUCUUCUGACUUCCAUAGGUACCAGGUAUAUGUGUGGUGCACCGUCCUAUAUGAAGGCAAAGCACCACACACACAAAGAUAAAUGAAUACUUUAAGAAAGAGAACAAAGCACAAGCCUUGUGUGAACAAAGCUCUUCCUGACAAUUUGUAACCAGUUAAAUAGAAGCAGCAGGAGCUUUAAGCCUCAAAACUUAAGAGUGGUGUUUUCAACAUACAGAAUAUUGUUACUGCAAUUUUAUUCACUCUUUAUAAUGAGAAUUCAGGUCAGUGUUUGUUACUUUGGAUGUAGUUUUCAGUAACAACCAUUUCAUGAAGCUGUUUAAGUAUAAUUUAAUUUGUGUAAAAAUGUAAAAUCUGUACAUGUUUUUAUGUGAGUACUCAGCCCAUGAUACAACUUUACAUGGAUCUACACCACAGAUUUACAGACAAGAAGAGUAAUGUCCAACGGAUUCCAGUUCCAUGAACUAUCUGAACACUCAACAGGGAGUGAUGUUCCUCUUUCCUGUAGUUCUACUGCCUUCCAAUGACUGCAGUGUUUGAACAGAGAUGUUCUGAUCUAGAGAGAACGAUAAAAAGAUACUGCUUGAAGACUUUGUGGACAAAGAACCCGGAGGUCACACCCCUCCUAAAACAGGAAGCCGUUAUUUUAUCUUGAAUGUGACCAAUAUAAAGAAAACCAAAUAAGUUAUGUUUUACUGCUUAAAAUAAGGUGUGACUAUAAAUCAACAGUCUUUUAAAAUUAAAUUGUUUUGUGUACAAUUA